rnacentral:rRNA from 1 species
UACAGAGGUCUCGAGCGUUAAUCGGAGUCACUGGGCUUAAAGGGUGCGUAGGCGGACCCGUAAGUGCUUUGUGAAAUCCCAUGGCUUAACCAUGGAAUGGCUUGGCAUACUGCGGGUCUUGAGGUCGGUAGAGGCUGCUGGAACUCUAGGUGGAGCGGUGAAAUGCGUAGAUAUCUAGAGGAACGCCGAUGGUGAAGACAGGCAGCUGGGCCGAAUCUGACGCUGAGGCACGAAAGCGUGGGGAGCGAACGGG